GGACGCGAUCAUACCACCACUAAAUCAUCGGAUCCCAUCAAAACUCCAAAGUUAAGCGUGCUUGGCCUAGAGUAGUACUAGGAUNNGUUGCAUUCC
rnacentral:rRNA from 16 species